rnacentral:rRNA from 1 species
CCCUUAGAUGUUCUGGGCCGCACACGCGCUACACUGAAGGAGGCAGCGUGUACUCCUGGAUCGAAAGAUUUGGGUAACCCGCGAAUCUCCUUCGUGCUAGGGAUUGAGGUUUGCAAUUAUCCUUCAUGAACGAGGAAUUCCCAGUAAGUGCAAGUCAUAAGUUUGCGCUGACUACGUCCCUGCCCUUUGUACACACCGCCCGUCGCUACUACCGAUUGAAUGGUCCGGUGAAAUCUUCGGAUCUGAGAGAUGUCUGAUUAAUUUCGGACGCCUUUUGGAAAAGUUGUUUAAACCUUACCAUUUAGAGGAAGGUGAAGUCGUANCA